GUGAAAGCGUUCUCUUCCAGCUGCUUGAUCAUCCUGCAGCGUCUUUCGCUCUCAUUUUCAGCUGCUGCAACACAAACAGCAAAGGAAACCACAAGAUGGGGAAUAAGCAAAGCUCAGAUAAGCACAAUCAAGUCCACACAGAUGGUGCAACAUCAACAAAACAUAAUAAGAAGCAGCUUGAGUGUGUCAGUACAGGUGAAACCUUUGGGGCAGACGAAGCUUUGAAGGAACAAGUUACCAGGAAGCUCAAGGAAAAAAUCCGCACCAAGAUACACCACCUCAUUGUUUUUUGUCCCAUCACGUCUCGUGUUGGCUCAGAUGUGGAAGCAGCCAUGGACAAAAUGAAAAGUGAUCGAGAUAUCAUUUUGGUUUUGAUGCACCACACCACAGAUCCUGACUACUCAACUGCUGGGACAAAUUGGUCUGAAACAAUCGAUAAUGUUGACUUGGAUGUUCAUGUUCUGUUCCAUGAAUCUGUGCCGGGGUUGUUGAAAUGUUCACAAAAUCAUAAUGCAGUGGAUCAAAUUGUUGAAUUUUUAAAACAAAAGGAAAAGAGCAAAACUGAAAAAAUGAAUAUCAGUAGUUGGGUGUGCUGUUGUGGCGCAGGGUGUUAGCACGCCCCACAUUUGGAGGCCUUAGUCCUCGUCGCGGGUUCGACUCCCGGUCCCGACGACCUUUACCACAUGUCUUCCUCACCCUCCUUCCUGU